rnacentral:rRNA from 1 species
UACGUAGGGUGCGAGCGUGUCCGGAAUUACUGGGCGUAAAGAGCUCGUAGGCGGCUUGUCGCGUCGAAUGUGAAAUCUCGGGGCUCAACUCCGCUUGCAUUCGUACGGGGCAGGCUAGAGUUCGGUAGGGGGAAUGGAAUUCCUGGUGUAGCGGGUGAAAAUGCGCAGAUAUCAGGAGGAACACCGGUGGCGAAGGCGGGUCUCUGGGGCCGAUACUGACGUGGAGGAGCGAAAAGCGUGGGGGGAGCAAACAGGGAUUAGAAAACCCCGGGGUUAGUCCAGAC